UGGGGAAUUUUGGACAAUGGGCGAAAGCCUGAUCCAGCAAUGCCGCGUGUGUGAAGAAGGCCUUCGGGUUGUAAAGCACUUUUGUCCGGAAAGAAAUCCUGCUAGGUUAAUACCUCGGGGGGAUGACGGUACCGGAAGAAUAAGCACCGGCUAACUACGUGCCAGCAGCCGCGGUAAUACGUAGGGUGCAAGCGUUAAUCGGAAUUACUGGGCGUAAAGCGUGCGCAGGCGGUUUUGUAAGACGGAUGUGAAAUCCCCGGGCUUAACCUGGGAACUGCAUUGCGUACUGCAAGGCUAGAGUAUGGCAGAGGGGGGUAGAAUUCCACGUGUAGCAGUGAAAUGCGUAGAGAUGUGGAGGAAUACCGAUGGCGAAGGCAGCCCCCUGGGCCAAUACUGACGCUCAUGCACGAAAGCGUGGGGAGCAAACAGGAUUAGAUACCCCUGGUAGUCCACGCCCUAAACGAUGUCAACUAGUUGUUGGGGGAUUCAUUUUCCUUAGUAACGUAGCUAACGCGUGAAGUUGACCGCCUGGGGAGUACGGUCGCAAGAUUAAAACUCAAAUGAAUUGACGGGGUCAUAGCUGUUUCCU
rnacentral:rRNA from 1 species